rnacentral:tmRNA from 2 species
GUCCCCCUUUUGGCGGACUAGGUGAUCCACACCAGUGUCUCGGACAGCGGUUCGAUUCCGCUCAGCUCCACCA